CGUGCCUAACACAUGCAAGUCGUGCGAGAAAGUUCCUUCGGGAGCGAGUAAAGCGGCGCACGGGUGAGUAACACGUAGGUAACCUGCCCCCCAGUCUGGAACAACUAGAGGAAACUCUAGCUAAUGCCGGAUGAGACCACGAUCCCUUCGGGGGUUGCGGCCAAAGAUGGCCUCUACUUGUAAGCUAUCGCUGAGGGAUGGGCCUGCGGGCCAUUAGCUUGUUGGUGAGGUAACGGCUCACCAAGGCUGUGAUGGCUAGCUGGUCUGAGAGGAUGACCAGCCACACUGGGACUGAGACACGGCCCAGACUCCUACGGGAGGCAGCAGUGGGGAAUAUUGCGCAAUGGGCGAAAGCCUGACGCAGCGACGCCGCGUGGGUGAUGAAGGCCUUCGGGUCAUAAAGCCCUGUCGCAGGGGAAGAAUAAGCAUCGGUAUAAUACGCCGGUGCCCUGACGGUACCCUGCAAGAAAGCACCGGCUAACUCCGUG
rnacentral:rRNA from 1 species